rnacentral:rRNA from 1 species
UACGUAGGGGGGCUAGCGUUGUCCGGAAUCAUUGGGCGUAAAGCGCGCGUAGGUUGGUCAUGUAAGUCCGCUGUGAAAGUCAAAGGCUCAACCUUUGAAAGCCGGUGGAUACUGCAUGACUAGAGUACGGAAGAGGCGAGUGGAAUUCCUGGUGUAGCGGUGGAAUGCGCAGAUAUCAGGAGGAACACCAAUAGCGAAGGCAGCUCGCUGGGACGUUACUGACACUGAGGCGCGAAAGCGUGGGGAGCGAACAGG